GGACGAACGCUGGCGGCGUGCUUAACACAUGCAAGUUGAACGGGCAUACAUGGAAGCUUGCUGAAGUGUAUGUUAGUAGCGGACGGGUGAGUAAUGCAUGAGAAGCUGCCAUUGGGAGGGGGACAACAGUUGGAAACGGCUGCUAAUACCCCGUAUGCCGAAAGGUAAAAGGGAGCAAUCCGCCUGAUGAGGUGCUCAUGUCCUAUCAGCUGGUUGGUGGGGUAACGGCCUACCAAGGCGACGACGGGUAGCCGGCCUGAGAGGGUGAACGGCCACACUGGAACUGAGAUACGGUCCAGACUCCUACGGGAGGCAGCAGUGGGGAAUAUUGGGCAAUGGGGGAAACCCUGACCCAGCGACGCCGCGUGAGGGAAGACGGCCUUCGGGUUGUAAACCUCUUUUGUACGGGAAGAAGGAAGUGACGGUACUGUACGAAUAAGUCCCGGCUAACUACGUGCCAGCAGCCGCGGUAAUACGUAGGGUGCAAGCGUUAAUCGGAAUUACUGGGCGUAAAGCGUGCGCAGGCGGUUAUAUAAGACAGAUGUGAAAUCCCCGGGCUCAACCUGGGAACUGCAUUAGUGACUGUAUAGCUAGAGUGCGGCAGAGGGGGAUGGAAUUCCGCGUGUAGCAGUGAAAUGCGUAGAUAUGCGGAGGAACACCGAUGGCGAAGGCAAUCCCCUGGGCCUGCACUGACGCUCAUGCACGAAAGCGUGGGGAGCAAACAGGAUUAGAUACCCUGGUAGUCCACGCCCUAAACGAUGUCAACUGGUUGUUGGGAAUUUACUUUCUCAGUAACGAAGCUAACGCGUGAAGUUGACCGCCUGGGGAGUACGGCCGCAAGGUUAAAACUCAAAGGAAUUGACGGGGACCCGCAUAAGCGGUGGAUGAUGUGGUUUAAUUCGAUGCAACGCGAAAAACCUUACCCACCUUUGACAUGUAUGGAAGAUCGCAGAGACGCGAUUGUGCUCGAAAGAGAGCCAUAACACAGGUGCUGCAUGGCUGUCGUCAGCUCGUGUCGUGAGAUGUUGGGUUAAGUCCCGCAACGAGCGCAACCCUUGUCAUUAGUUGCUAACAGGUUAAGCUGAGAACUCUAAUGGGACUGCCAUCGUAAGAUGCGAGGAAGGUGGGGAUGACGUCAAAUCAGCACGGCCCUUACGUCCGGGGCGACACACGUGUUACAAUGGGUGGUACAGAGGGUUGCUACCUGGUGACAGGAUGCUAAUCUCUUAAAUCCACUCUCAGUUCGGAUCGAAGUCUGCAACUCGACUUCGUGAAGCUGGAUUCGCUAGUAAUCGCGCAUCAGCCAUGGCGCGGUGAAUACGUUCCCGGGCCU
rnacentral:rRNA from 1 species